rnacentral:rRNA from 1 species
GAUGAACGCUGGCGGCGUGCCUAAUACAUGCAAGUCGAGCGAACAGAUGGGGAGUUUGCCCGUCUGACGUUACCGGCGGACGGGUCAUUCAUACGUGGUUGACCCACCUUUAGGACUGGGAUACCUUCGCGAAACCUUAUCUAAUACCGGAUAAGAUAUUGAACCACAUGGAUCUAUACUGUAAGAGGGCUUUGCUGUCCCUUAUAUAUUGAUCCUCGUCGCAUUAGCUAGUGGGUAAGGUAACUGCUUACCAAGGCAACGAUGCGUAGCCGACCGGAGAGGAUGGGCGGCCACACUGGAACGGAGACAGGGUCCAGGCGCCUACGGGAGGCAGCAUUAGGGAAUCGUGCGCAAUGGGUGAAAGCCUGAGGGAGCAACGCCGCGUGUGUGAUGAAGGUCUUCGGAGCGUAAAACGCUGUUAGUUGGGAAGAACAAAUGUGUAAGUAACGAUGCACGUCUUGACGGUACCAAAAGAAAAAGCGACGGCUAACUACGUG